UGACAGCUUCUCUCCAGUAAUACCGAGCUGCAGCUUCAUCUCAAGGGUGUAUGAAUUGAGACAGAUUAUUUGGGGAGUGAUUCAGAACUGUCAUUAUUAAGUCCUCAAUGCAAUCCGCUGCAAUUCAACGGGGGCCGCCUUGAACAGUGGUCUUGCGAGACAAAGUAUUCCUGCUAAUGCAUUUGUCCGAGUGGGAUUUUCCAAGUGAGCGUAACCGGUAUGUUAUGUCUGAGUCCACGGAAACUGAAGCACGCAGGGAGAUGGAUGAUUGGAGAGAAAAAAUGAAGAAAUGGCAAGCGGGUUGGAGAAGGUGAUGCGGGAAGUGGUUUCAACCCUAAAGCAGCUGAUAUAUUCAUGAAUCACCGUGAUUAGAAUUUCUAUUCUGCUACUGCAGUCCUAACAGAAAAGUCUUCUGUUCCAGUCUGAUUGGUUCUGGAUUCCUUCAUCAGCCCCAAAUACAUGCAUGCAACCUUGAUUAAUGAAGACCUAACUUCUGUGGCUGGAAGAGCAAGAACAGAUGGUGCACCCCCGUUCAUCUAAGCAUCUUUGUGUCAGUCUGCGAUUUCAUCUGAGACUGAAGCAAGUGUGAUACCCUAAAUCCACGGAACAACAGCGGGAUCUUCUGUGGAUCUGAAAGAAGCAAUUGACAGUGCAGUCUUCUCUCACCUUUGAGAUUUACAAAAAUUCAGAGAUCAAGAAAUCAACCAGAAGAAAUAGAGUGGUGUUUGUGUCUGAACUUCAACGUUCUCUUUCGGUUUUUUUAUACAACAUCUGCUGUUUUCCAAUUCAGACGUUUUUCACUUUCCCAAGCCUUCAUUUCAGUGGAGUAUGACCACUUUAAAAUAUGCAUUUAAAGUGGCCCAGAGGCUCAAGCUGUCCUCAGGGAUCCAACCAUAAUGAAUGACUAAGCUGACAGUCAUCAGAGAAUAGUGAGAACCUUUUGCAUAAAUCUGGACAUUCCCUGCAUAGUCUUUGGCAUCUCAAUA